GGGAGACUGGAAGACUUGAAUGAAUAGGCAACCGUUCCUUCAGAGUUGAUACUGUGAAGCUCCAGCACAGGUACCAGCAACUGCAGCGUCUUGUCCAUCCAGAUUUCUUCAGCCAGAGGUCUCAGACUGAAAAGGACUUCUCAGAGAAGCAUUCGACCCUGGUGAAUGAUGCCUAUAAGACCCUCCUGGCUCCACUGAGCAGAGGACUGUACCUUGUAAGCUAAAGCUCCAUGGAAUAGAGAUUCCUGAAAGGACAGAUUAUGAAAUGGACAGGCAAUUCCUCAUGGAAAUAAUGGAAAUCAAUGAAAAACUCGCAGAAGCUGAAAGUGAAGCUGCCAUGAAAGAGAUUGAAUCCAUUGUCAAAGCUAAACAGAAAGAAUUUACUGACAAUGUGAGCAGUGCUUUUGAACAAGAUGACUUUGAAGAAGCCAAGGAAAUUUUGACAAAGAUGAGAUACUUUUCAAAUAUAGAAGAAAAGAUCAAGUUAAAGAAGAUUCCCCUUUAAUUGUGGAUAGUUUAAAGUUUAAAAAAUAAAGUUCUUGCUGGGCACAGUGGCUCACACCUGUAAUUCCAGCACUUUGGGAGGCUGAGGUGGGUGGAUGACAAGGUCAGGAGUUCAAGACCAGCUUGGCCAACAUACUGAAACCUCAUCUCUGCUAAAAAUACAAAAAUUAGCCGAGCAUGGUGGCGCGUGCCUGUAGUCCCAGCUACUCGGUAGGCCAAGGCAGGAGAAUCGCUUAAACCCGUGAGGUGGAGGUUGCAGUGAGCAGAGAUCACGCCACUGCACUCCAGCUUGGGCAAUAAAGUGAGACUUAAUCUCCAUAAAUAAAUAAAUGAAAAAUAAAA
rnacentral:sRNA from 1 species